rnacentral:lncRNA from 1 species
UUGUUAGUUUGUAACGUUUCAAUCAGCCGAUUAAACGCUACACCAAGCUCCGCUUGGUAUUUGUCCCUCGGACUAUAUAUUUCUAGAAGCGACCCUACUACCGUCAAGUCAAUUAGUACAUCUCUUCGAAGCUAUUUAAUGCGAUAAAAAUUUGUACUAGCUCCCUUUUGCCAUUGCCACGUAAAUCAGGCAGAAUAUUGGCAUACAUUAUCGUGUUUGUGUGUAGGCCGUUAAACAAUGGCCCCUACCUCGGGAAGAAGAUUUUAAUCAAGCACCUGGAAAA